rnacentral:lncRNA from 1 species
ACACCCCCAAAUAUAAACCCAAUAUUUCCCAAAAACCCUAAUCCUAAUCUAACAAGACCAGCCUCAACCCCUCUUUGCCAUCUCCCAUGUCUGUCGCGAACCCAUGCCCUAAACCACCCGAAAAUCUUCCCCAAAUCAUUACAUGGUCCGCCCUGUCAUGGUCCCCUCCUCUCAUAUUCCUUCCACGUCAUCCAAAUCUACAACGACCUGAACAUUCUCGUUCCUUUUCACACGGAUUUGCGGGUGAUUUUUGUAUGAAUGGGAGAUAUAGAUUGAUUAUGAAUCAAUCAUGGCCAUCCAUUUUUCCGAAAAUCAUUCGCCACAGAUAAUCAGAAGAUUUCGAUUUUUUUCAGAGGAUUUUUGGAUUAUUCAAGUGUGUUUUUGGGGAUUUCUUGGAGAAGGGGGAAGAAGCUUCUAGGGGUGAGAUAUAUUCGAGAGGUUUGGAGGACUGAGGGCUCAGACAGAAAAUGAGAGAUUGAAAAUUUUUGGAAAAACAAAAACUAGGGUUCUUGGUUUUUAAUUUGGGCUUUCUACUCAGAUUUUUUUAUUCUUAGGCGCAAUUAGAAUUCCAGAAAACUAAAACAAAAAAAAAUGUUUCGAGUUUGAUAUUUGUUCAUGCAUUGCUCCUCUUCCGAAAAUUCAGAAAAUACAUAGGAAAAUAUAUUCUAGUUUCUUCCUCCACUUGUGGUGUUCAGAAAUGGAUUCGGACUGAAAUUUUGUUGUGUGUUAGUCGCACAGUUGAGUCGAGGUGUUGAUUCGAGUCGCUGAGGUGCAUUUGAGGUUGGAUUCUGGUUCGUAGUUCCUGCUGCUUGUUCAUUUCGAAGCUUCAUCGAAAAGUUUUUGUAAUUGCUUAGAAACAGAUUUAAUCGAAAGGCUACACUCUCAGGUUCAUCUCGUUCCUCAUUCUGUUUGCUUGCUGUUUUGUGAUGAAUUAAUCAUGACGAGAUCAUUGGAUAAACCAUAAGAAUUUUUUUGAAUCUUAAAAGUUGGUUAAGUUUAAGCGUUAAGAGAAACAAAUCAUUGUGUUCCGAAUGAUGGCGGAUUUCUCUUAACGUGUGAUUCCGUUCUGAUCGUUCUGCUCGAAUGGUGUUUAUACUUGUUUGCUCUGUUUAGUCUAUUGUUAUAUUCUGUCGCGCCGCUCAUAUGUUGGUUUGGCUGGUAGAAAUAGGAAUAUGGUCGUUCCUCACUGUUUCAUCUGAAUUCUUUGUUCUCACUACUGAUUUUGGUUCUGAAAACUGUUGGUUUCUUUCAUAAUCUGAUCACGGAUUUUUGUGUUGUAACAUCCCUCACUGCUCACAAGAUUCUCGUAGUAUCAUGAAAUCGAAGCCUACCUGUUUAGUUCAAGAAUAAACAUGAAAGUUUGAUGAGGUAUAACCAGUGGCCUGCGAUUUAAUUUGAGUUGAUGUUGUCUUCGACAUGCUAAUCCUUGUAGUCGCUGGUCCAUUAGUUAUCAUGAAAGAUUGGUUUGCCGUCGAAGCCUUCUGUUGAUUAAGCUCGGUAUGAGUUAUAUUCCCAGCAAUUCUCCUAACUUGUCUUAAGUUUGGUUGCUGAAAUUGGUAUUCACGGUUUCGAAUAUGAAUGGGCUUGAAUUUGUUGUGAUUGUUGACAAGAAUGUGAAGCUGUCUUGUGAUCGCUGCAGUCUCUACAAAUGUUUCUGCUCGUUUGUUUGAAUUGGAACUAAAAACAGGAAUCCUCUAAUCUUGAAGGUCCUGGGCUUACUUACCUUCUCUGUUAAUAUUCGAACAUGGAUCUAUUUUAAGUUUUGAAGAAUGAUUUGGUUCAAAAUAGUUUGUUUCUCAUUUUUUCAGUCACGAGUGUCUCUACGAAGGAAGAAAAAUGAAAUUCUAUGCCUGCUUGAACAUUCACGUUUGCCUAGUUUUUUUUAAAAAUGUCUGGCACCAUAUAAUUGCUUCAUAAGCUAAUUAAGUUAUUGGAUUUUCCUGUGUCUGGAUUUUAUUCAGUCUAGUUGUCUUCAUGAAGAAUUCUACGUUUUACUUCAGUCAUUGAGGUUUAUUCUUAACCAUACUUACUUAAUUUUACUACUCCACAUGUUAGUUGUUGCUUAACUGAAGUAUAGAGUUAGCUUUAAUUACCUUGUCUGUUUCUCUUAUUUCCUUUAGUUAGUAUUUGUUUGUUUCUUUUAACUGAAGUAUAGGAUUACUACUCCACAUGUUACUAUUUGCUAAUUUGUGCUUGUGUUAGCAGUAACUAGAUUUGAUAUUGGCCUAUGGGUUUAUAGAAAUUAAAUUAAAGAGAAUAGGAUUGAAAUCUUGAUGCAUAUGGGCUGUCUGUCGUAUUACGUUGAAUAUCUGUUGGACUUAUUCUUGGUACAUAACCUCUAGGAGCAUGCUAGGCUGUUAUCACUUGGGCAGGUAAGCCUUAAGAUUUUUCGUUCGCUUAGAAUGUGAGGCGAGAGGUCGUUCCCGUAGUUAAAUUUAUCCGAGGAAUGCCCCAAAGGACUUGUAUAUAUUUUAUUCUGGGGUAUGCCCUGAAGUAAUUGUAUUUGGUGGCCAUGAAGAACAGCGUAGAAGAAAUAGUGUAGGAUAAUCUAGAACUUUAACCUUUCUUCUUUUAAUUUUCUUUCAUCUAGGCGGGGACGACCUCGAGCCUCUUGUGUGUUUACUUUAUUUUUAUGUGUUUUGCCUCAAUUUGAAUGUUUUAAAAGCCAACUAGAUCGAGUAUGCAACCGUGACUUUCACGGGACUUGGGGAGUGCCUAACACCUUCUCCACAAGUCAAAUGAACCCCCUUACCCUAAUCUUUGGUGUAGACUUAGUUUUAGAGUUCAAAAUAUUUAAAAGGAAAAAUCAUUUAAGAAAAAAAACGGUGACCUGACACACUAAAUUCAAAUGUCAGGUGGCGACUCUGAGUUAUUUUCCUUUUGAAACAAAUUUUGUUACUUUCAAAAUUGAAAACCCUUUUCAAGCUUUAAUGAAAUCCUUUUAUUUAUUUUAAGAGGGUUUAGUGGGGUUUGUUUAAAAAAGGGGCGUGACAACCUUCAAUUGUACUUAUUCCAUAUGUUCUUGUUCAGAACUAUGAUGUAUUUAUUUUGUAUAACUGCUCUUAGAAAAAAACUUAUGACUUAUACUACCGGAUUUGAGAAUGGUAAAUUGUUUCGAGAAAUUUUAUUUUAACUUAAUAAAUAUCAAUGUUAUUUCAGCUAAUGUUAGGCUUACCUAAUUUAGAGACUAUGUGCCAUCACGACUCAUUCGGAGAGAUUUUUGGGUCGUGACGUUAGUAAAUGUACAAUACUAAAUAGUUGAUAAUUCAAUAAAAAAUAAAAUAAGGAACAUACCAUUUAUUUUAUUACCAUAUGUAUAAUGUGUAUCCUUUGAUUUUGUAUAGAUUGUGUUAUAUUUCCGUACACAACAUUAGAAAUAAAAUAGCAACUAGUAAAAUUUACUAAAAUAAUAUAAUAUAUUAGAUCAUAAUUUUAUAAUAUUAAUAUUUUUUAAAAUUAUCCGUGCGACGCACGGGUUCUUACACUAGUAUAUCAUUUAAGACAAGCUAAUUAACAUUGAAAUUAUUGGAGCCCACAAUUCUUGUCGAACAACCUGGGCAAUGCCACUGGCCACCUUCAUCCCCGGCAUCUCUAACAAUUUUCAUGUAUCCUUCCUCACCCCAUGUAGUCCCCCAUGAGUUCUUGACUAGCCAAUAAUUUGUACCAUCUUCACUUGUUCCAUAACCUAUAACUGUGACUGCAUGAUUCAGCGUAGGGUUGCAACUCCCAUCAUAUAUUCCACUUCCAUACAAAUGAAACUUCCCAUUAGCAGCAAUACCAACAGAUAUUGGUUGAUUAGCUACAGCUUGCAGUAACGCGGACUCGCUUGACUCUACUAUUUUAUAACCAC